rnacentral:misc_RNA from 1 species
CGGAGACUCGCACAAACAUCGCUGCGACGCCUCCUGCACUGAAGCUGACACACACACACACACACACACACAGACACAAGAAGCAUACACACGGGCAGCGGCCCAAACGCACUUUCUGUUUCUUCUGCAUAAUGUCGGAGGUGUUACUCAAGCAGCUCAAGCAGGUGCUUGCGCCAUGGGAGUCGCUGCCAGACAAGGACAAACUUGACGAGGGUAGCGGAGCGGCGUCCUCUAUGUGGGCGAUGCCACCACCGGCCGCGCCGAACUGCGCCUCCUCGACUUCCUCCGUCCCGCCGCAGUUCGCGCCUGUCACCAAGUGCACAAGCGUCGGGUGGCCGUCGGAGGAGGCGGCGGCCGCGUACGUCGCGCACUCCCGUACUGCCACAACAAAAUUGGAGUUGGCGCGUGCCGCCUUGGCCCUCUUCUCCUCCAACGCAGGCGUCUACCGGCCGUUUCUGGUAAAGCUCCUUCGGUUCCUUUUCGAUCACGUUGAUGAGCUUCGAGAGGAGCAAGGCCAGCUGCGGAUGGAGUGGUGGAUGUGGCAGCAGGGCAGCGGCUCUUCAACCAGCAAGGCAGCGGAUGGAGAUGGAGGCGGUGACGGACUAGUGGUGAUCACACCGGAGGAGCGGAACGCCGUCGCUGCGGCGUACGAAAAGGUGCGCAUGACGGAGGCCCGCAUGGCUGCUUUGGUUGAGGAGGCCGCCGUGCAGCGCGACCACUUCAAGUCGCAAAUGGGAAUGCAGAAGCGCCACCAGCACCACCUGGAGGACCUCCUGUGCCAUCAAAUAGAGCUCACACAGACGCUGCUAGACCACCGUCUUCACCAGGACCUCAUCUCAGGCAAGCAAAGUACCGCCGUCACAGCGGUGGCGGCCGUGACCCACAUCCUUCAAGACAGUCGCGGCGUGGCCGGUGCGGGCCUCGGUGACGGCGGCGACGAUCACGGUCGCGGCACCCGUGAAGGAUCGACUUCCGCAAGGCUCGCUGCAGUUACCCCGAGAGAUAUCUCGGGGCUGGAAUGUAGCCAUGCAUCGAUUCGCCCACCAGAGCGGCGAGACGCGGCUUACGUGCAGCGCCUCAUCUCCAGGGCUGAGAAGGAGCUACUGCUGGAGCGCACCGAGGACCAGCUGCGUGACCUGCGCGCACAGUAUGACCGUCUGCAGAACAAAGUCCAAUCGCUGCUGAAACUCAAUUCUCGCUAUGCUCGCCAGUCUGUGGAGCUCUCAGCGCGCCUUAGCAUAUUACAUGAGCACAACAUCGCACUUGCCGCGGACGUGCAGUUGUUCCAGCGUGACUACAUAAGGGCGCUGCAACGAGCGGAGCGUCUUCAGCGAGACCUGCAGGUGGCGCGAGGGAUCGCACUGACGAUGCUGCAUGUGCAGUUUGGCCGCCAGCUGAGCGUCGGGGAGGAAGGGAGCGAGGACAAGCGAAGGGCGUCGAAGGAGGACAAUAUCGCGUUGUGGCAGGCAGGGGCGGCGGCAUCGCGCCUCUCGGCUCCGGGCAAGGGUGGUGAAACGAGGAUGCGCUACGCGUUCGAGACGGCUGAGCCGCUCGCGCCUGCGGCCGCCACGGCCGUUACUGGUCUCGAGGAGACGGCGCCAGCACUGGGCGACAAGGAUACGAGGGGCGAAGAGGCGCAAGAGAUGCUGGACACGGAGAACCACGCGCAAGAGUCACUGCACCUCGCCCCGUGCGAAGGGCUGCGCAGCCAACUGCAGAAGCUGCUCACAGUGUAUGACCCGCAGCACGCCAGCAUCAAGGCGUCUCUGCUGCAGAAUCUGCACCUGAGUGGUGAUGCGAACUUGCAGGGAAGCUGUGGCGACAGCAGCGGCUUUCUCUUCUCCUCCUCUGGUGCACAGGGGUGGCUGUCGCCGGCAUCAGUGCCACAAUGGGCACCGCCGUACGGCCUUCGCCCCGACGUUCCGCUGCAACUACGUAGCCGCAGCUCUGUCCCGCUCCUGCAUCUGCACCCUGUCGUGGCCGAGGUCCUUGUGCAUGAGUUGCUCUCUCAACGCCAGGAGUUGCUGUGGUACUCAAAGCAGCAACAGGAGGAGCGCCAGGCGCCCCUGCGAAUGGCGGAGGGCAGGGCCUGGGACAACCGUGGCUCACGCAAGGCAAGCGCCACGACGGCGACGACCAUGUUUAUGUCUUUGCAAGAGUACGUUGGGCUGUUUGUGCUCGUGGUGUGGCUGAACAGGCCCAACUACUACACGUAUCUUUUGCCGCCCGCGACGCAGCUGACAACGGUCGAGGACGCACGGGCUCGACGGGGCUCGCGUAAUGGAGUCGUGCGCAACACGGCAUCUCCCAGUGCUUCUGCGACGGACGCUGGCGAUUUCCCGCAGCCCCAAGACCUCGGGAUGGUUCCCACAUCCCUGUGGGACCUGCGACAUGUCUUGCACAGUGUGCGCCUCGCCGACGACAUGGAGCAGCUGCCGGCGGAGGGGCUGCAGCUGACCUACGCACUUGACACGGCUUCUCUGCAGCUGGUGGUCGGCCCCCUUACAUACGCCUACGGUCUCACGUCUCGCGGUGCCCUCUGCGACGUUCUAUUCGACCUGCUUCGAGCCGAGCGGUUUGUCUUUGUGGAGUUGUGCCGUGCGGUGGAGGCGGCCAUACUCGCGAAGCAAGAAGAGGAGCAGGAGCGAUGGGCGGAGGCGCGGAGGCAGGAGAGCCAAAUCCACGUUGCAAGGAGCAAGGACCCUCAGCUACACCCUGCAAACCCGGCUGCGGCAGCGCCUCCGCCACCAAAACCAGGCCCACAGUCGUCGACGCCCCUGCGUGGGUGUAUUCCUGUCGUGCAGGUGGCUCGCAUUCUGCUGGCCAUGUACCCUGGCUACUCGGCCACCAUCAUGGGCCAGUUGAUCCAGACCGCUGUGAAUGACGGCACAAACGUAGCGGAGAACCCCGCGUAUCUCUUCUACGAGGUCCUCCUGCCCUCCCGGAUGCUGCCUGGCCCCACGACCGCCUCGAUGUCGAUCGACCCUUCCAUGGCAGUCGGGACAUCCUUUGCCUCUCUUUUCUACACCGCUAUCUGCGACGAUGCCUUGGAGUCGAUGCAGGUGGUGGAGGACAGCGUGCGCGGCUUCGCGUACGGCCAUCCGCACUCGAGCGGCAUGUCUGCGCUGUCGUCCACCAGUGCCGCCGCAGUGAUGUCUGGCGCGUCGACGGCGACGGCACAGCAGCUCACCUCCCUCGCCUUCCUCGGUGUGCCACGUGCAGAGGCGCAGUGCUGGGGGCCGUCCUUGAGGAGUGCCAUCUACCGGUGGCCUCGUCUGCGCUCCACCAUAGUGGACGGACCUCUUGUUGCCUCGGCCGCCUCCGCUGAUGACGCUGUCCUUGACGGGGACGCCGGCGCGACGCGCGAGGUCCCUGCAGUUGUGGACGACGAGUUCACCGCAGCGGCGGCGGCGGCGGCAGGUCGCAGUGACCGCUUUUCUCUGGACUCGAGCGUUGUUCUUCGGGCCGGGACCCCAUCAGUACAUCCGACUCAAGACCUUCCCAGAGCGGAGGAUAGGAAGGCAGCGGCUGAGGUCUCUUCGGUGGCCCGGGUAUCAGUGGAGGAGGUUGUGCCUUACCUUCGCCGGCACCUCUUGCUUCGUCGCGGGCUGUAUGACUGGGCGACAAGCACAGCAGCCGCGGCGGUCGACAUCUCGCCACCGCCCGUCGUGGAGGACGGCCAGGCCGCGUCAAAGACUUUGAAGACAGCCGUAGCAAAGACGACGAUGACGGCGUCGGCCACGGAGACGGAGGGGGCUCACCACUGGUCCACGGCCCACAGCGACCUUCUUCGGCACUGGGACGCGCGAUGGACUCAAUACAGCGGCAAGACAGCGGGGUCACCCUCGGCUUUCGUAGGGCCGACAGAGCCAGCGGAGUUCAAGCAGAUGCUGAAGCAAGUGGACCCGCACCGUACAUGCGCGUGGAGCAGUGAGUUGCUGAGCCGCGAGAACCCGCUCAUGCACCCUGUGACUUACGACUGGACGCAAGGCGACCCUGUCAAGCUUAAGCCUCCAGCUAGAGAGGAGGACGACAGCAGUAGUAGUCGCUGAUCUGGUAAGAGCAAGAAGCCAAAGGGGGAUCGGAGACAGUCGACGGUGAGUCGGUGACUCCCCUCGACCGCCUGCUGUGCCACACACACACACACACGCACACAAUCCUGAGAGGUGCUUGUUUGUCAACUUUUUUCAUGUGUUGUGCUGUGCUACUCGUCUCGCGUGAGAGGCGGUGCGAGGGGUGGUGGGGGGGGGUGGAGAUGUACAUUAUACAUGCUCGGUGCCCCUCAUGUUUUAUGGGUGCCCUUUUAGAAGCCACUGGAGUGCAGCUGUUCUGCUCUCCGCGUCUUUUCUUGUACAGCGUUUCCUUUCGCAACGCCCCGUCUCCAUGUCUCUUUUUCCUUCUUCCGCGUCACGACUUGCCUCCUCCUCAAGGCGGCGCUUCUCGCGCACUCGCGACGGCAGACGCGGGUGCCUCUACUCGCCUUUGCUCCACAUGCGUAUGUGGUGUCUUCGAGCACGAGGACUCUCUGCCUCU